rnacentral:misc_RNA from 1 species
UACGGAGGGGGCUAGCGUUAAUCGGAUUUACUGGGCGUAAAGCGUGCGUAGGCGGCUUUUUAAGUCGGAUGUGAAAUCCCCGAGCUUAACUUGGGAAUUGCAUUCGAUACUGAUAUGCUUGAGUAUGGGAGAGGAUGGUAGAAUUCCAGGUGUAGCGGUGAAAUGCGUAGAGAUCUGGAGGAAUACCGAUGGCGAAGGCAGCCAUCUGGCCUAAUACUGACGCUGAGGUACGAAAGCAUGGGGAGCGAACAGG